rnacentral:rRNA from 1 species
CAGGCUGGCUGGGCGCAGCCUGAUCAGCCUGCCGCGUGAGUGAAGAAGGCCUUCGGGUUGUAAAGCUCUUUCAGUUGAGAAGAAAAGAUUGUAACUAAUAAUUGCAAUCCAUGACGGUAUCGACAGAAGAAGCACCGGCUAACUACGUGCCAGCAGCCGCGGUAAU